CUCAACUCCCGGAUCUGCGGUGGGUACGGGCAGACUAGAGUGAUGUAGGGGAGACUGGAAUUCCUGGUGUAGCGGUGAAAUGCGCAGAUAUCAGGAGGAACACCGAUGGCGAAGGCAGGUCUCUGGGCAUUAACUGACGCUGAGGAGCGAAAGCAUGGGGAGCGAACAGGAUUAGAUACCCUGGUAGUCCAUGCCGUAAACGUUGGGCACUAGGUGUGGGGGACAUUCCACGUUUUCCGCGCCGUAGCUAACGCAUUAAGUGCCCCGCCUGGGGAGUACGGCCGCAAGGCUAAAACUCAAAGGAAUUGACGGGGGCCCGCACAAGCGGCGGAGCAUGCGGAUUAAUUCGAUGCAACGCGAAGAACCUUACCAAGGCUUGACAUGAACCGGUAACGCCUGGAGACAGGUGCCCCGCUUGCGGUCGGUUUACAGGUGGUGCAUGGUUGUCGUCAGCUCGUGUCGUGAGAUGUUGGGUUAAGUCCCGCAACGAGCGCAACCCUCGUUCUAUGUUGCCAGCACGUGAUGGUGGGGACUCAUAGGAGACUGCCGGGGUCAACUCGGAGGAAGGUGGGGACGACGUCAAAUCAUCAUGCCCCUUAUGUCUUGGGCUUCACGCAUGCUACAAUGGCC
rnacentral:rRNA from 1 species